rnacentral:lncRNA from 1 species
UUUUCUCUAAAUACUAUGAAUGGUUCAUCGUCUUCUGAAGACGGUGAAUAAUUCAUCACUAUCUGAAGACAGGAUUCAUCAUAUUUGAUAUUCAUAUUAUAAUUAAAGACGGUAAGUGGUUCACCGCCUUACCGAAUGUGAAGUCCUACCCGGCUCCUACGUAGCAAAAAGAGGAUUAGUUUGUCAAAUAUAAAUUUGAUAGGAUUAUUUUGUAAAUUAUAAAAUUUAAAAAAAUUAUUUUGUAAAAAAGUGCUUUGCUGGGGUCU